GYGGACCWUGCCUUGAAUGAUUGGUGGCUACUUUGUGCGGCCAACNUUCGUUGCGGUAGUCCUUUCACCUUUUUUCUCCUUGUAAUAUUUUGGAGAUCGAUCGUGGCCUUAUGAUAGUUGCUUGUGAUGGGAAUCCUUUUGAGUAUGGUAUUAACUUCAGUUUAUUUCUCAUGGAUUAGCCUCUUUGCCCAUCUCUAGGGCAUGGAGAUUGCUCUAUGGAACGAGACCCUUCCACCCUUGGCUUCGAGAGCUGUCACACGACAUUCUUGUUUCUUAGGCGGUGGAGUGAGGGCCUCGUGAUAUUGUUGCAAAUGUGGCUCUUGAAAUCGGGUCUUGGUGUCAUGGCGCCUUGCUCGAGUUGUGAUUUUUCCAAUCGAUGGUGCCUAUAUCUUCUGUGCGACUUUUGUUCUUUCCCUCCCUUCCAUACUAAAUGUAUGAUUGCGGUGGGGUGAGUUCAUGGUUGCCUUGAGGACGUGCUACCUGGUUGAUCCUGCCAGUAGU
rnacentral:misc_RNA from 1 species